rnacentral:rRNA from 1 species
ACUGGCUCAGGAUGAACGCUGGCGGCGUGCUUAACACAUGCAAGUCGAACGAAGCAACUAUCUUGCUUGCAAGAAGUUGACUUAGUGGCGGACGGGUGAGUAACGCGUGGGUAACCUGCCUCAUACAGGGGGAUAACAGUUGGAAACGACUGCUAAGACCGCAUAACCCGCUAGUGUCGCAUGACACGGACGGAAAAUAUUUAUAGGUAUGAGAUGGGCCCGCGUCUGAUUAGCUAGUUGGUAAGGUAACGGCUUACCAAGGCGACGAUCAGUAGCCGACUUGAGAGAGUGAUCGGCCACAUUGGGACUGAGACACGGCCCAAACUCCUACGGGAGGCAGCAGUGGGGAAUAUUGGACAAUGGGGGAAACCCUGAUCCAGCGAACCGCCGCGUGAGUGAAGAAGUAUUUCGGUAUGUAAAGCUCUAUCAGCAGGGAAGAUAAUGACAGUACCUGACUAAGAAGCCCCGGCUAACUACGUGCCAGCAGCCGC